rnacentral:rRNA from 1 species
UACAGAGGUCUCAAGCGUUGUUCGGAUUCAUUGGGCGUAAAGGGUGUGUAGGUGGCGCCGUAAGUCGGGUGUGAAAUUUCGGAGCUUAACUCCGAAACUGCAUUUGAUACUGGCGUGCUUGAGGACUGGAGAGGAGACUGGAAUUCACGGUGUAGCAGUGAAAUGCGUAGAGAUCGUGAGGAAGACCAGUGGCGAAGGCGGGGUCUCUGGACAGUUCCUGACACUGAGGCACGAAGGCCAGGGGGAGCAAAACGGG